UACGUAGGGCGCAAGCGUUAUCCGGAAUUAUUGGGCGUAAAGAGCUCGUAGGCGGUUUGUCGCGUCUGCUGUGAAAACUGGAGGCUCAACCUCCAGCCUGCAGUGGGUACGGGCAGACUAGAGGUCGGUAGGGGAGUGUGGAAUUCCUGGUGGAGCGGUUGAAAUGCGCAGAUAUCAGGAGGAACACCCGUAGCGAAGGCGGCACCUCUGGGCCGAUACUGACACUGAGGAGCGAAAGCGUGGGGAGCGAACAGG
rnacentral:rRNA from 1 species